GACGAACGCUGGCGGCGUGCCUAAUACAUGCAAGUUGAGCGCUGAAGGUUGGUACUUGUACCAACUGGAUGAGCAGCGAACGGGUGAGUAACGCGUGGGGAAUCUGCCUUUGAGCGGGGGACAACAUUUGGAAACGAAUGCUAAUACCGCAUAAAAACUUUAAACACAAGUUUUAAGUUUGAAAGAUGCAAUUGCAUCACUCAAAGAUGAUCCCGCGUUGUAUUAGCUAGUUGGUGAGGUAAAGGCUCACCAAGGCGAUGAUACAUAGCCGACCUGAGAGGGUGAUCGGCCACAUUGGGACUGAGACACGGCCCAAACUCCUACGGGAGGCAGCAGUAGGGAAUCUUCGGCAAUAGACGAAAGUCUGACCGAGCAACGCUGCGUGAGUGAAGAAGGUUUUCGGAUCGUAAAACUCUGUUGGUAGAGAAGAACGUUGGUGAGAGUGGAAAGCUCAUCAAGUGACGGUAACUACCCAGAAAGGGACGGCUAACUACGUG
rnacentral:rRNA from 1 species